rnacentral:rRNA from 1 species
UACGGGGGGAGCAAGCGUUGUUCGGAUUUACUGGGCGUAAAGGGCGCGUAGGCGGUCAGCCCAGGUCGGUUGUGAAAUCUCCGGGCUUAACUCGGAAAGGUCAACUGAUACUGUGCGACUAGAGUGCAGAAGGGGCAACUGGAAUUCUCGGUGUAGCGGUGAAAUGCGUAGAUAUCGAGAGGAACACCUGCGGCGAAGGCGGGUUGCUGGGCUGACACUGACGCUGAUGCGCGAAAGCCAGGGGAGCGAACGGG